rnacentral:rRNA from 1 species
GACGAACGCUGGCGGCGUGCCUAACACAUGCAAGUCGAACGGGGCUCUUUGGAUCGAGACUUCGGUCAAGUGAAUCUGAGCUUAGUGGCGGACGGGUGAGUAACGCGUGAGCAACCUGCCUUUCAGAGGGGGACAACAGUUGGAAACGACUGCUAAUACCGCAUAAUGUGUUUUGGGGGCAUCCCCGAAAUACCAAAGAUUUAUCGCUCUGAGAUGGCCUCGCGUCUGAUUAGCUGGUUGGCGGGGUAACGGCCCACCAAGGCGACGAUCAGUAGCCGGACUGAGAGGUUGGCCGGCCACAUUGGGACUGAGACACGGCCCAA